rnacentral:rRNA from 2 species
GGAAGUCGUACAGGUACCCGUAGGUUUUCAUUGGUCCCGUAAAGUUUCCUCCGGGCUGCCGGAAAUCGGCGGACUGGUGAAUAAUGCCUAGGGUCUGCCUGGUAGUGGGGGAUAACUCGGGGAAACUCGAGCUAAUACCGCAUACGUCCUACGGGAGAAAGCGGGGGAUCUUCGGACCUCGCGCUACCAGAUGAGCCUAGGUCGGAUUAGCUAGUUGGUGAGGUAAAGGCUCACCAAGGCGACGAUCCGUAGCUGGUCUGAGAGGAUGAUCAGCCACACUGGAACUGAGACACGGUCCAGACUCCUACGGGAGGCAGCAGUGGGGAAUAUUGGACAAUGGGCGAAAGCCUGAUCCAGCCAUGCCGCGUGUGUGAAGAAGGUCUUCGGAUUGUAAAGCACUUUAAGUUGGGAGGAAGGGCAGUAAGCUAAUACCUUGCUGUUUUGACGUUACCGACAGAAUAAGCACCGGCUAACUUCGUGCCAGCAGCCGCGGUAAUACGAAGGGUGCAAGCGUUAAUCGGAAUUACUGGGCGUAAAGCGCGCGUAGGUGGUUUGAUAAGUUGGAUGUGAAAGCCCCGGGCUCAACCUGGGAAUUGCAUCCAAAACUGUCUGACUAGAGUAUGGCAGAGGGUGGUGGAAUUUCCUGUGUAGCGGUGAAAUGCGUAGAUAUAGGAAGGAACACCAGUGGCGAAGGGACCACCUGGGCUAAUAC